UCUCCGUAGGUGAACCUGCGGAGGGAUCAUUGCAGAGUUCAUGCCCUACCGGGUAGAUCUCCCACCCUAUGUUAUUAUUACUUUGUUGCUUUGGCGGGCCGUUAGGCUCCGGCCCGACUACCGGCCCCGGCUGGUAAGCGCCCGCCAGAGGACCCAAAGCCUGAAUAUUAGUGUCGUCUGAGUACUAUAUAAUAGUUAAAACUUUCAACAACGGAUCUCUUGGUUCUG
rnacentral:misc_RNA from 1 species